GGUCAAACACCUAAGAGGAACUUUUAACUUGGGUCAUUUAAGUGCAAGUGCCUUGUUUUCGCCAUUUUGCCAAGGACAUGGGGCUCAAGUUUGGGUGUGCACCUGGCUUGCAGCAGAACUGGCUGGGAUGGCUUCAUAACUUCCCUUCUAACAAUAUAACAAUAUGCUUCUGUAAAUUUUCACACUGAAUUGGACAAGAAUCAGAAUAUCCUGUUUUGAACAUCUGCACAGAUUGACAAACAAAAAUGGAACAUCAAGACUGACUGGAAAUGGUGAUGUGAAAUUCAUUAAAUGCUCUUGCAAUUGCCAGAGGUGACAUAUAUACAUACAGCAUCAUUGUUUUCUGGAAAAUGGGCUACAGGAGAAUCUUAAAGAAGCAGUGAAUUGGCCGGGCACUGUGGCUCACGCCUGUAAUCCCAGCACUUUGGGAGGCCAAGGCGGGCAGAUCACGAGGUCAGGAGAUCGAGACCAUCCUGGCUAACACGGUGAAACCCUGUCUCUACUAAAAAUACAAAAAAUUAGCCAGGCGUGGUGGCGGGCGCCCGCAGUCCCAGCUACUCGGGAGGCUGAGGCAGGAGAAUGGUGUGUACCCAGGAGGCGGAGCUUGCAGUGAGCAGACAUGGCACCACUGCACCCCAGCCUGGGUGACACAGCAAGACUCCGUCUCAAAAAAAAAAAAAAAAAAAAAA
rnacentral:lncRNA from 1 species